rnacentral:rRNA from 1 species
AUUGAACGCUGGCGGCAUGCCUUACACAUGCAAGUCGAACGGCAGCACGGGAGCAAUCCUGGUGGCGAGUGGCGAACGGGUGAGUAAUAUAUCGGAACGUGCCCAGUCGUGGGGGAUAACGUAGCGAAAGCUACGCUAAUACCGCAUACGAUCUAUGGAUGAAAGCGGGGGGAUCGCAAGACCUCGCGCGAUUGGAGCGGCCGAUAUCAGAUUAGGUAGUUGGUGAGGUAAAGGCUCACCAAGCCGACGAUCUGUAGCUGGUCUGAGAGGACGACCAGCCACACUGGGACUGAGACACGGCCCAGACUCCUACGGGAGGCAGCAGUGGGGAAUUUUGGACAAUGGGCGCAAGCCUGAUCCAGCAAUGCCGCGUGCAGGAUGAAGGCCUUCGGGUUGUAAACUGCUUUUGUACGGAACGAAACGGUGAGCUCUAAUACAGUUUGCUAAUGACGGUACCGUAAGAAUAAGCACCGGCUAACUACGUG